rnacentral:rRNA from 1 species
CGCGGCCUAUCAGCUUGUUGGUGGGGUAAUGGCCUACCAAGGCGUCGACGGGUAGCCGGCCUGAGAGGGUGUACGGCCACAUUGGGACUGAGAUACGGCCCAGACUCCUACGGGAGGCAGCAGUGGGGAAUAUUGCACAAUGGGCGCAAGCCUGAUGCAGCGACGCCGCGUGGGGGAUGACGGCCUUCGGGUUGUAAACUCCUUUCGCUAGGGACGAAGAGGAAUUGACGGUACCUGGAAAAGAAGCACCGGCUAACUACGUGCCAGCAGCCGCGGUAAUACGUAGGGUGCGAGCGUUGUCCGGAAUUACUGGGCGUAAAGAGCUCGUAGGUGGUUUGUCGCGUCGUUUGUGUAAGUCCGCAGCUUAACUGCGGGACUGCAGGCGAUACGGGCAUAACUUGAGUGCUGUAGGGGAGACUGGAAUUCCUGGUGUAGCGGUGGAAUGCGCAGAUAUCAGGAGGAACACCGAUGGCGAAGGCAGGUCUCUGGGCAGUAACUGACGCUGAGGAGCGAAAGCAUGGGGAGCGAACAGGAUUAGAUACCCUGGUAGUCCAUGCCGUAAACGGUGGGCGCUAGGUGUGAGUCCCUUCCACGGGGUUCGUGCCGUAGCUAACGCAUUAAGCGCCCCGCCUGGGGAGUACGG